AACGAACGCUGGCGGCGCGCUUAACACAUGCAAGUCGAACGAGAAGGCGUAGCAAUACGCUUGUACAGUGGCGAACGGGUGAGGAAUACAUGGGUAACCUACCCUCGAGUGGGGGAUAACCCGCCGAAAGGCGGGCUAAUACCGCGUACGCUUCCGAUCUUGCGGGAUCGGAAGGAAAGCUGUCCCUUGGGGAUGGCGCUCAAGGAUGGGCUCAUGUCCUAUCAGCUUGUUGGAGGUAACGGCCUACCAAGGCAUCGACGGGUAGCUGGUCUGAGAGGACGAUCAGCCACACUGGCACUGCGACACGGGCCAGACUCCUACGGGAGCAGCAGUGAGGAAUAUUGCGCAAAUGGGCGAAAAGCCUGACGCAGCGACGCCGCGUGGGGGAUGAAGGUCUUCGG
rnacentral:rRNA from 1 species